rnacentral:tRNA from 1 species
GUCGCUAUCGUCUAGUGGUUAGAACGUCACAUUGAGACCGUGACAACCCCGGUUGAAAUCCGGGUAGUGACU